UGGGGAAUAUUGCACAAUGGGGGAAAGCCUGAGGCAGCAACGCCGCGUGAGUGAUGACGGUCUUCGGAUUGUAAAGCUCUGUCUUUAGGGCCGAUAAUGACGGUACUUAAGGAGGAAGCCACGGCUAAUUACGUGCCAGCAGCCGCGGUAAUACGUAGGUGGCAAGCGUUGUCCGGAUUUACUGGGCGUAAAGGGAGCGUAGGCGGAUCUUUAAGUGGGAUGUGAAAUACUCGGGCUCAACCUGGGGGCUGCAUUCCAAACUGGGGAUCUAGAGUACAGGAGGGGAGAGUGGAAUUCCUAGUGUAGCGGUGAAAUGCGUAGAGAUUAGGAAGAACACCAGUGGCGAAGGUGACUAUUCGGACUGUAACGGACGCCAGGCUUGAAAGCGUGGGGAGCAAACAG
rnacentral:rRNA from 1 species